rnacentral:rRNA from 1 species
CGCGGUUGUAGCAAUACAACUGGCGCACGGCGCACGGGUGCGUAACACGUGGGUAACCUGCCCUUUGGUGGGGAAUAACUCCGCGAAAGCGGAGCUAAUUCCGCAUAAGAUCCGCAAGGAUGAAAGCCGCAAGGCGCCGAAGGAGGGGCCCGCGCCCGAUUAGCUAGUUGGUGAGGUAAUGGCUCACCAAGGCUUUGAUCGGUAGCUGGUCUGAGAGGAUGAUCAGCCACACUGGAACUGAGACACGGUCCAGACUCCUACGGGAGGCAGCAGUGGGGAAUCUUGCACAAUGGGCGAAAGCCUGAUGCAGCGACGCCGCGUGGGGGAUGAAGCAUUUCGGUGUGUAAACCCCUUUCGAUCCGGACGAAACCCCGCAAGGGAUUGACGGUACGGAUAUAAGAAGCCCCGGCUAACUACGUGCCAGCAGCCGCGGUAAGACGUAGGGGGCCAGCGUUGUUCGGAAUUACUGGGUGUAAAGGGUUCGUAGGCGGUGCGGCAAGUUGGGAGUGAAAUCUCUGGGCUUAACCCAGAGGCUGCUUCCGAAACUGCUGUGCUUGAGUGUGGGAGAGGCGCGUGGAAUUGCAGGUGUAGCGGUGAAAUGCGUAGAUAUCUGCAGGAACACCCGUGGCGAAAGCGGCGCGCUGGACCACUACUGACGCUGAGGAACGAAAGCUAGGGGAGCAAACAGGAUUAGAUACCCUGGUAGUCCUAGCCCUAAACGAUCAGGACUUGGGGUGCCACCCGUUCGGGUGUCGUCCCGGAGCUAACGCGUUAAGUCCUGCACCUGGGGAGUACGGUCGCAAGACUGAAACUCAAAGGAAUUGAC